rnacentral:rRNA from 1 species
UAGUUAGGUUGUGUGGGGGCAACGGCCCACCAAGCCGACGAUGCGUAGGGGUUCUGAGAGGAAGGUCCCCCACAUUGGAACUGAGACACGGUCCAAACUCCUACGGAAGGCAGCAG